rnacentral:rRNA from 1 species
GUGGUUUAAUUCGAAGCAACGCGAAGAACCUUACCAGGUCUUGACAUCCCUGACAACCCGAGAGAUCGGGCGUUCCCCUUCGGGGGACAGGGUGACAGGUGGCGCAUGGUUGUCGUCAGCUCGUGUCGUGAGAUGUUGGGUUAAGUCCCGCAACGAGCGCAACCCUCGACCUUAGUUGUCAGCAUUCAGUUGGGCACUCUAAGGUGACUGCCGGCUAAAAGUCGGAGGAAGGUGGGGAUGACGUCAAAUCAUCAUGCCCCUUAUGACCUGGGCUACACACGUGCUACAAUGGGCGGUACAAAGGGUCGCGAACCCGCGAGGGGGAGCCAAUCCCAAAAAGCCGCUCUCAGUUCGGAUUGCAGGCUGCAACUCGCCUGCAUGAAGCCGGAAUCGCUAGUAAUCGUGGAUCAGCCAUGCCACGGUGAAUACGUUCUCGGGUCUU